rnacentral:sRNA from 1 species
CCAGCUUGGAGACAACAUGUGGUUCUUGACAGCUCUGCUCCUUUGGGUUCCAGUUGGUGGGCAAGUGGGUGAGUGAUCUCUAACUCAGCUUCUCCUCCUAUGCCAUUUUCCUACUUCCAAAGGAUGGGUCCUAUUAACCUGAAGAAGAGCAUAUAGGGAAAGCAGAGAAAGAAGAUUUAUAAAUUAUGUAAAAUCUCCCAUAUUCAGAGCAUGAUUUUCAUAAAAACUAUGAUUUGUAAGCUUUCUUUCUAAAGUUUUCUGAAUAAGCUCUUUCCUCUGAACGAAAUGCCUGAAUGUAUAUAUAACAGCAGGAAAGGGCCAGAAUUGCACAAACACUGAAGUAGUCUGCUGACACUGAAGUAGUCUGCUAGGUUUCCCAACAUCCCCUAAACCAGUCCCCUUUAUAAGAAAGGAGAGUGGGUUUUUUCUCCUCAGAAAGAGCCAGGCAAAUACUGAAGGCUUCAAAGAGAGGAGUUUGAACCUCUGUUUCCAAUGUACAAGCUGCUGAAGCCCUGCAAUGUAUCCCCAGAGACAGUAUAGCUCAGAGGAUAAGGAAAACAGCUCUGGUCGGCUUGCCCAAGUCUAAAACCCUGCUUCAUUGCUCCCAACAGAAAAACCUACAUCAGUAAUUUAAUCCUCAGGAGCCCCAGAUUCCCAACACCCAGAUGAGGAUUUAAUAACAUGAACAGAGGUCUCUGCAGCAGGAGGACACUCUUAAAGGCUGGCUUUUGUAGGUUUCCACUUGCCUAUUUUUCAAAUAAAUCUUAAUAUGUAUUUUUCCCUUGUGCUAUCCACAAAAGCCUUACCAGUUGCUUAGAGCCCUC